rnacentral:lncRNA from 1 species
GCCGUGUGCCCAGGCGCCUGGCGUCCGCGUCGGCGAUCCGGGGUCUGGGCGCGGCGAGUGGCCGGCUCACCUCAUUCCUGCCAAGACCCAGGUCCGUGUUCUCACAGUGCUGCCAUCUUUCCUCCGUGUGAGCGUGGGCUGUGCGGAGAGUGGACCUCGGUGUGUGCGGGGCUGCGUGCACUGCCAUCGCUCCCUCUACACGAGCCGGCGUGGACCCAGGGCUGAGCUGUGACCACGAGGGCCAUCCCGACGAGCCGCCAUGGACCCAGGGCUGAGCUGUGACCAUGAGGGCUAUCCCGACGAGCUGCCGUGGACCCAGGGCUGAGCCGUGACCAUGAGGGCCAUCCCGAAACUGUGAUUGUUUUCUGAAUGUGGAAGCGUCGGCCGAGCGCGGUCCUUGGAGAACCCUUGCUGCGGAGAAUGACGCUCACUCUGCGGCCUGGCCUCGCCUCCCCAUCCCUUCUGCAAACUCACAGGACAGGAUUGAUGGGGAGAGCCCAGGCGAAACGAAGCUGACCCUAGUGACCAGCCCUACUGGCGGCUCUGGAACAGGCCCGGGACCGGUGGCCUGGAGACAGUGGUCCUUUCUGGAUGGGCUGCAGUCUCCGAAGGCUUCCCCCACUGGAGUCAGCCCUUUAGGAGUUUGUCCAGUGCCUCCAGAAAGCUGUUUUUUGGGGGACGGAGGACUUGGCCUGGAAUUCUGGAAUUCCCAGGGGGUCAGACAUGGUUAUGGGAAGUUUAAUAAAACCGGUGAAUCACGUGAAUUCUGCAACA